GACGAAGGGGGCUAGCGUUGCUCGGAAUCACUGGGCGUAAAGGGUGCGUAGGCGGGUUUUUAAGUCAGGGGUGAAAUCCCGGGGCUCAACCUCGGAACUGCCUUUGAUACAGCAUAUCUUGAGUCCGAUAGAGGUGGGUGGAAUUCCUAGUGUAGAGGUGAAAUUCGUAGAUAUUAGGAAGAACACCGGUGGCGAAGGCGGCCCACUGGAUCGGUACUGACGCUGAGAUGCGAAAGCGUGGGGAGCAAACAGG
rnacentral:rRNA from 1 species